rnacentral:rRNA from 1 species
UACAGAGGUCCCAAGCGUUGUUCGGAUUUACUGGGCGUAAAGGGUGCGUAGGUGGCGAGGUAAGUUCGAUGUGAAAUCUCCGAGCUCAACUCGGAAAUGGCAUUGAAUACUAUCCCGCUGGAGGGUCGGAGGGGAGACUGGAAUUCUCGGUGUAGCAGUGAAAUGCGUAGAUAUCGAGAGGAACACCAGUGGCGAAGGCGGGUCUCUGGGCCGAUACUGACGCUGAGGAGCGAAAGCGUGGGGAGCGAACAGG